rnacentral:rRNA from 1 species
GACGAACGCUGGCGGCGUGCUUAACACAUGCAAGUCGAACGGAAAGGCCCUGCUUUUGUGGGGUGCUCGAGUGGCGAACGGGUGAGUAACACGUGAGUAACCUGCCCUUGACUUUGGGAUAACUUCAGGAAACUGGGGCUAAUACCGGAUAGGAGCUCCUGCUGCAUGGUGGGGGUUGGAAAGUUUCGGCGGUUGGGGAUGGACUCGCGGCUUAUCAGCUUGUUGGUGGGGUAGUGGCUUACCACGGCUUUGACGGGUAGCCGGCCUGAGAGGGUGACCGGCCACAUUGGGACUGAGAUACGGCCCAGACUCCUACGGGAGGCAGCAGUGGGGAAUAUUGCACAAUGGGCGGAAGCCUGAUGCAGCAACGCCGCGUGCGGGAUGACGGCCUUCGGGUUGUAAACCGCUUUCGCCUGUGACGAAGCGUGAGUGACGGUACUGGGUAAAGAAGCACCGGCUAACUACGUG